GACCUUACUUGAACAGGAUCUGUUCUAAGGAGACAGGAAACCAAGUCCAGGUGAGUAACUUUGGCUAUGAGAUUAGAGUGUGAUUAACAGCCUCCAUGGCCUUUUGGGUCAUGGUGCCAUAGAUGAUCGUUCUCUGCCUGGUCCACGGCUUGAGAUGGUCUCGUGGCAAUCUGACAGACU
rnacentral:snoRNA from 1 species